rnacentral:rRNA from 1 species
UUGUACCGACUGGAUGAGCAGCGAACGGGUGAGUAACGCGUGGGGAAUCUGCCUUUGAGCGGGGGACAACAUUUGGAAACGAAUGCUAAUACCGCAUAAAAACUUUAAACACAAGUUUUAAGUUUGAAAGAUGCAAUUGCAUCACUCAAAGAUGAUCCCGCGUUGUAUUAGCUAGUUGGUGAGGUAAAGGCUCACCAAGGCGAUGAUACAUAGCCGACCUGAGAGGGUGAUCGGCCACAUUGGGACUGAGACACGGCCCAAACUCCUACGGGAGGCAGCAGUAGGGAAUCUUCGGCAAUGGACGAAAGUCUGACCGAGCAACGCCGCGUGAGUGAAGAAGGUUUUCGGAUCGUAAAACUCUGUUGGUAGAGAAGAACGUUGGUGAGAGUGGAAAGCUCAUCAAGUGACGGUAACUACCCAGAAAGGGACGGCUAACUACGUGCCAGCAGCCGCGGUAAUACGUAGGUCCCGAGCGUUGUCCGGAUUUAUUGGGCGUAAAGCGAGCGCAUGUGGUUUAUUAAGUCUGGUGUAAAAGGCAGUGGCUCAACCAUUGUAUGCAUUGGAAACUGGUAGACUUGAGUGCAGGAGAGGAGAGUGGAAUUCCAUGUGUAGCGGUGAAAUGCGUAGAUAUAUGGAGGAACACCGGUGGCGAAAGCGGCUCUCUGGCCUGUAACUGACACUGAGGCUCGAAAGCGUGGGGAGCAAACAGGAUUAGAUACCCUGGUAGUCCACGCCGUAAACGAUGAGUGCUAGAUGUAGGGAGCUAUAAGUUCUCUGUAUCGCAGCUAACGCAAUAAGCACUCCGCCUGGGGAGUACGACCGCAAGGUUGAAACUCAAAGGAAUUGACGGGGGCCCGCACAAGCGGUGGAGCAUGUGGUUUAAUUCAAAGCAACGCGAAGAACCCUACCAGGUCUUGACAUACU